rnacentral:rRNA from 1 species
AAUGAACGCUGGCGGCGUGCUUAACACAUGCAAGUCGAACGAGGAACGGGAUUGCUUGCAAUCCUGAGUAGAGUGGCGCACGGGUGAGUAACACGUAGAUAAUCUACCUUCAAGCCUGGAAUAACCUACCCGAAAGGAUAGCUAAUACCGGAUAAAGUUAAACUGCUUAAGUAUUUUAAUGAAAGAUUGCCUCUCCUUGGAAGCAAUUGUUUGAAGAUGAGUCUGCGCACCAUUAGCUUGUUGGUGGGGUAAAGGCCUACCAAGGCUGCGAUGGUUAGCUGGUCUGAGAGGAUGAUCAGCCACACUGGAACUGGAACACGGUCCAG